AGAAGAAAAGCAUCGACAGCAACGACAGCAAGGACGUUUGAAAGUGGAAUUUCCUUAGAAUGUGGAUGCAUAAUGAUAAACAUAAGCGACUUGCAGCACUGGGUCACCUCAUGAACAAAUCGCUCUCUGUAAGGGCUAACACUCUACUAGGAAGUAGAAGACUUGAGUCCUUAUCCUGCAUCUGUUAUCAACCAGGUUAAGACUGCCCCUUGAGGACGGAGGAGAGAAACUGCAGGGGUCCUGAGUGCCAGAAGCACAGAGAAAAAAAAACCACAGCUGAUCCAGACUGCUCAACAAAGGGAGAGAAGAACUGGAAUGAAAAUUCUUAAAAAACUAAAGUGAGUCCAAUGAGAAUACCUAACGGACAAGUCGAUCCAGUCAAUCUUUUUCAUCUUUUGAGAUAUGGCUGCUCUAAUUCUAAAC